GACGGGGGGUCCUAGCGUUGUUCGGAAUCAUUGGGCGUAAAGCGUGUGCAGGUGGUUUGGUAAGUUAGAUGUGAAAGCCUUGGGCUUAACCCAAGAAGUGCAUUUAAAACUACCAAACUUGAGUAUGGAAGAGGGUCGUGGAAUUCCUGGUGUAGUGGUGAAAUACGUAGAUAUCAGGAGGAACACCGGUGGCGAAGGCGGCGACCUGGUCCUAUACUGACACUCAUACACGAAAGCGUGGGGAUCAAACAGG
rnacentral:rRNA from 1 species